rnacentral:rRNA from 1 species
CCUACGGAGGCUGCAGUGGGGAAUAUUGGACAAUGGGCGAAAGCCUGAUCCAGCCAUGCCGCGUGUGUGAAGAAGGCCUUCGGGUUGUAAAGCACUUUCAGUGGGGAAGAAAGCCUUGGGGCUAAUACCCUCGAGGAAGGACAUCACCCACAGAAGAAGCACCGGCUAACUCCGUGCCAGCAGCCGCGGUAAUACGGAGGGUGCGAGCGUUAAUCGGAAUUACUGGGCGUAAAGCGCGCGUAGGCGGUCUGAUAAGCCGGUUGUGAAAGCCCCGGGCUCAACCUGGGAACGGCAUCCGGAACUGUCAGGCUAGAGUGCAGGAGAGGAAGGUAGAAUUCCCGGUGUAGCGGUGAAAUGCGUAGAGAUCGGGAGGAAUACCAGUGGCGAAGGCGGCCUUCUGGACUGACACUGACGCUGAGGUGCGAAAGCGUGGGUAGCAAACAGGAUUAGAUACCCGGGUAGUC